CCAAGUAGGAGAUAGCGAGUUCGAACCUCGUCUUACGCUCUUUUAAAAUUGUGGGUGGUCGUGGUG
rnacentral:tRNA from 1 species